ACUCCUACGGGAGGCAGCAGUGGGGAAUAUUGCACAAUGGGCGCAAGCCUGAUGCAGCCAUGCCGCGUGUGUGAAGAAGGCCUUGGGUUGUAAAGCACUUUCAGUCGUGAGGAAGGUAGUGUAGUUAAUAGCUGCAUUAUUUGACGUUAGCGACAGAAGAAGCACCGGCUAACUCCGUGCCAGCAGCCGCGGUAAUACGGAGGGUGCGAGCGUUAAUCGGAAUUACUGGGCGUAAAGCGCAUGCAGGUGGUUGUUAAGUCAGAUGUGAAAGCCCGGGGCUCAACCUCGGAAUAGCAUUUGAAACUGGCAGACUAGAGUACUGUAGAGGGGGUAGAAUUUCAGGUGUAGCGGUGAAAUGCGUAGAGAUCUGAAGGAAUACCGGUGGCGAAGGCGGCCCCUGGACAGAUACUGACACUCAGAUGCGAAAGCGUGGGAGCAAACAGGAUUAGAUACCCCUGGUAGACUGUCA
rnacentral:rRNA from 1 species